rnacentral:lncRNA from 1 species
UUAAGGUGGUAUGGGUGUCUUCCGCCAUCUUGGAUUGUAAAAAACAGAGAAGCUAAGGUCCAGAUUUUCUAAAAAGUUAGCAAAAUUUGAUGCAGGAAUGCAGAUAUUUAAUGGGAAUUUUUAUUUAAAAGAACCAAUUUAUAAGAAUAUAACUUAUAAAUAUUAGUAUUUUUACAAGAGUUGAUUAUUUUUGGUUGUUUUUUAAUUGUUUUCAAAUUGGCAUUUAAAGGGGAGAUAACUCUAAAACAGUGCAUUUUCUGAAGGAUUCUUCAUGGAAUUUUCCUAUUUUGUAUUUUAGCCGGAAAAAACGUACGGUGACCCUAUCUUUUCUUUUGAUUUUCUCAAAGUAUUGUUUGAAAGCCGUCUUUUCCUAAUUUAUGUUGCAAUUCUAUCAUUUAGUUUAGUUUCUAAUCACAAAAUGGUGUUUUUUCCUGUAUAAUCCAUACAAAAUGUGUCAUUUUGUCACCAUCUGUAGCUUGAGAAAAUGCACGGUGACCUAUCAUUUCAAUUAUAU